GCCGCCGCGGUAAUACGGGGGAUGCAAGCGUUAUCCGGAUUUAUUGGGUUUAAAGGGUGCGUAGGCGGUCGAUUAAGUCAGCGGUGAAAUUUAGGGGCUCAACCUCUACCGUGCCGUUGAUACUGGUCGGCUGGAAUGCGGAUGCCGUGGGAGGAAUGUGUGGUGUAGCGGUGAAAUGCAUAGAUAUCACACAGAACACCGAUUGCGAAGGCAUCUCACGAAUCCGCUAUUGACGCUGAGGCACGAAAGCGUGGGGAUCAAACAGGAUUAGAUACCCC
rnacentral:rRNA from 1 species